rnacentral:rRNA from 1 species
GCAAGUCGUACGCUUCUUUUUCCCCGGAGCUUGCUCCACCGGAAAAAGAAGAGUGGCGAACGGGUGAGUAACACGUGGGUAACCUGCCCAUCAGAAGGGGAUAACACUUGGAAACAGGUGCUAAUACCGUAUAACAAUCGAAACCGCAUGGUUUUGAUUUGAAAGGCGCUUUCGGGUGUCGCUGAUGGAUGGACCCGCGGUGCAUUAGCUAGUUGGUGAGGUAACGGCUCACCAAGGCCACGAUGCAUAGCCGACCUGAGAGGGUGAUCGGCCACAUUGGGACUGAGACACGGCCCAAACUCCUACGGGAGGCAGCAGUAGGGAAUCUUCGGCAAUGGACGAAAGUCUGACCGAGCAACGCCGCGUGAGUGAAGAAGGUUUUCGGAUCGUAAAACUCUGUUGUUAGAGAAGAACAAGGAUGAGAGUAACUGUUCAUCCCUUGACGGUAUCUAACCAGAAAGCCACGGCUAACUACGUGCCAGCAGCCGCGGUAAUACGUAGGUGGCAAGCGUUGUCCGGAUUUAUUGGGCGUAAAGCGAGCGCAGGCGGUUUCUUAAGUCUGAUGUGAAAGCCCCCGGCUCAACCGGGGAGGGUCAUUGGAAACUGGGAGACUUGAGUGCAGAAGAGGAGAGUGGAAUUCCAUGUGUAGCGGUGAAAUGCGUAGAUAUAUGGAGGAACACCAGUGGCGAAGGCGGCUCUCUGGUCUGUAACUGACGCUGAGGCUCGAAAGCGUGGGGAGCAAACAGGAUUAGAUACCCUGGUAGUCCACGCCGUAAACGAUGAGUGCUAAGUGUUGGAGGGUUUCCGCCCUUCAGUGCUGCAGCUAACGCAUUAAGCACUCCGCCUGGGGAGUACGACCGCAAGGUUGAAACUCAAAGGAAUUGACGGGGGCCCGCACAAGCGGUGGAGCAUGUGGUUUAAUUCGAAGCAACGCGAAGAACCUUACCAGGUCUUGACAUCCUUUGACCACUCUAGAGAUAGAGCUUCCCCUUCGGGGGCAAAGUGACAGGUGGUGCAUGGUUGUCGUCAGCUCGUGUCGUGAGAUGUUGGGUUAAGUCCCGCAACGAGCGCAACCCUUAUUGUUAGUUGCCAUCAUUUAGUUGGGCACUCUAGCAAGACUGCCGGUGACAAACCGGAGGAAGGUGGGGAUGACGUCAAAUCAUCAUGCCCCUUAUGACCUGGGCUACACACGUGCUACAAUGGGAAGUACAACGAGUCGCGAAGUCGCGAGGCUAAGCUAAUCUCUUAAAGCUUCUCUCAGUUCGGAUUGUAGGCUGCAACUCGCCUACAUGAAGCCGGAAUCGCUAGUAAUCGCGGAUCAGCACGCCGCGGUGAAUACGUUCCCGGGCCUUGUACACACCGCCCGUCACACCACGAGAGUUUGUAACACCCGAAGUCGGUGAGGUAACCUUUGAGC